rnacentral:rRNA from 1 species
GAUGAACGCUGGCGGCGUGCCUAAUACAUGCAAGUCGAGCGAACGGACGAGAAGCUUGCUUUUCUGAUGUUAGCGGCGGACGGGUGAGUAACACGUGGAUAACCUACCUAUAAGACUGGGAUAACUUCGGGAAACCGGAGCUAAUACCGGAUAAUAUUUUGAACCGCAUGGUUCAAAAGUGAAGGACGGUCUUGCUGUCACUUAUAGAUGGAUCCGCGCUGCAUUAGCUAGUUGGUAAGGUAACGGCUUACCAAGGCAACGAUGCAUAGCCGACCUGAGAGGGUGAUCGGCCGCACUGGAACUGAGACACGGUCCAGACUCCUACGGGAGGCAGCAGUAGGGAAUCUUCCGCAAAGGGCGAAAGCCUGACGGAGCAACGCCGCGUGAGUGAUGAAGGUCUUCGGAUCGUAAAACUCUGUUAUUAGGGAAGAACAUAUGUGUAAGUAACUGUGCACAUCUUGACGGUACCUAAUCAGAAAGCCACGGCUAACUACGUG